UGUAAUACAAUAUGAUUAGUGCACGGCUGAUAAUUAACAUGUAUACGUAUGUAAAUGUUAUUCCGCUAUUUCCUUUAUAAGGCCCACGAUUGUGUUGUACAACCAACAGAAACGUUUGAUCUUGUAAUUUUCCUACAGACUAACUGAAGAAACCUUAAAGUAGUCAUCAUGAAGCUGUUCUGUAUUUUCUUCUUUCUGUAUGUGUUGUCUGCUGCAGUUUCAGCUUAUCCUGACGGCAGUGCUAAAGAUGCGGGGCUCAGAUUUAUUGUCAAGUUUCCAGCUAAGAAGGAUGCUUUGGUCACUCGUAACGCUAUAGUUCCCGUUGUACAGUAGUAUCGGGAUGACACUACAAUUGCAAGAAUAUUUAGAAGAUGAAAUAAACUA